AUUGAACGCUGGCGGCAGGCCUAACACAUGCAAGUCGAGCGAGCGGCGGACGGGUGUGUAAUGUCUGGGAAACUGCCUGAUGGAGGGGGAUAACUACUGGAAACGGUAGCUAAUACCGCAUACCAUAAGAUGUGUCCAGAUGGGAUUAGCUGGUAGGUGGGGUAACGGCUCACCUAGGCUACGAUCCAUAGCUGGUUUGAGAGGAUGACCAGCAACAGUGGAACUGAGACACGGUCCAGACUCCUACGGGAGGCAGCAGUGGGGAAUAUUGCACAAUGGGCGCAAGCCUGAUGCAGCCAUGCCGCGUGUGUGAAGAAGGCCUUCGGGUUGUAAAGCACUUUCAGCGGGGAGGCGUUACCCGCAGAAGAAGCACCGGCUAACUCCGUGCCAGCCGCCGCGGUAAUAC
rnacentral:rRNA from 1 species